rnacentral:lncRNA from 1 species
GGCAGUCCAGCCGCAGGGGCCACCCGAACAGUCUCUCCUCCUCACAGAAGCCUGGAGCUGGGCAUCCAAGAAGAAGCAGCCUCAUUUGUUUUCUGGUGUCAUCGUAGGUGGCCACCUAUGGCUUUUGGGCUUCUCACCUGGGGCGGGUGGGUUCUGCACCACCCUCCCACCCUCCUUCCUCCGUGUGGACGAUAGAGCCACAUCCAGCACCACGGACAGCUCCCGGGCGAUCCCAUGGGAGUAGAAGAGGUGUGAGCAGGUUGCCCAGCUGGUUAGCGGAAAUGCCAAGAUCCAGGCUCCUGAAUUUCAGCCUGGCCCUUUCUAUCUGUCUGAUACCUCCUUUACGAGUCUCUCUGCCUGCGUUGUGUGGAGCGGGCCUGCUGCUGGUUGGGGGAGUUUGCAGGUUGCCCCUAUGCAAAAAAGGACAGGAUGCAUGACUGGCAUGUAAGGUGUUCAGGAAAACCAGGAAAAGCCUUCAUCUCCUCGUCCUCCAGGCAGCACAAGCCAUUGUGGAAUCUCCACCAGGUGUACAGAACGGUGCCUCUGCGUCCUGCCACUCAGGACCUCUCAAGUCCCCGAUGUGAUGGCUCCUCAGCAUGAUCAGGAACCAAAAAGAAGAAUGUACUUCAUCUGGUUGGGCUGGAUUCCCUCUGAUAAGCCUUCCCAGUUGACUGAAAGAUGAGGCUAGGCUCUAGCAAGUUGAAGUCAAACCAGCUCCUUCAAGAAGCUUUGAGCAGAAUGAAGUGGGGAGGACCCAGCUUCCAGCCCAGGAAGCCCACUGUACCUGGAGCCAUCUGGGAUAAGACUUUGACCCAUGACUCCCAUAUCCACAGCCUGUCCAUCCUAGCCCAUCCCAGUUUAUCCUGUAUCAUUUGAGCUGGGAUUCCCACAUCCUCUGAGUUGGAAGUCCCAUCUCAAGUCUUCAAUAAAGACUCUUGAAUAUUGAAUCACA